rnacentral:rRNA from 1 species
AACGAACGCUGGCGGCAGGCUUAACACAUGCAAGUCGAGCGCCCCGCAAGGGGAGCGGCAGACGGGUGAGUAACGCGUGGGAAUCUACCGUGCCCUGCGGAAUAGCUCCGGGAAACUGGAAUUAAUACCGCAUACGCCCUACGGGGGAAAGAUUUAUCGGGGUAUGAUGAGCCCGCGUUGGAUUAGCUAGUUGGUGGGGUAAAGGCCUACCAAGCCGACGAUCCAUAGCUGGUCUGAGAGGAUGAUCAGCCACCUUGGGACUGAGACAGGGCCCAAACUCCUACGGGAGGCAGCAGUGGGGAAUAUUGGACAAUGGGCGCAAGCCUGAUCCAGCCAUGCCGCGUGAGUGAUGAAGGCCCUAGGGUUGUAAAGCUCUUUCAACGGUGAAGAUAAUGACGGUAACCGUAGAAGAAGCCCCGGCUAACUUCGUGCCAGCAGCCGCAGUAAAAC